UACGAAGGGGGCUAGCGUUGCUCGGAAUCACUGGGCGUAAAGCGCACGUAGGCGGCUUUUUAAGUCAGGGGUGAAAUCCUGGAGCUCAACUCCAGAACUGCCUUUGAUACUGGGAAGCUUGAGUCCGGAAGAGGUGAGUGGAACUCCGAGUGUAGAGGUGAAAUUCGUAGAUAUUCGGAAGAACACCAGUGGCGAAGGCGGCUCACUGGUCCGGUACUGACGCUGAGGUGCGAAAGCGUGGGGAGCAAACCGG
rnacentral:rRNA from 1 species